rnacentral:rRNA from 1 species
CACGUAGGGCGCAAGCGUUGUCCGGAAUUAUUGGGCGUAAAGAGCUCGUAGGCGGUCUGUUGCGUCCGCUGUGAAAACCCGGGGCUUAACCCCUGGCUUGCAGUGGAUACGGACAGACUAGAGGUAGGUAGGGGAGAAUGGAAUUCCCGGUGUAGCGGUGAAAUGCGCAGAUAUCAGGAGGAACACCGGUGGCGAAGGCGGGUCUCUGGGCCGAUACUGACGCUGAGGAGCGAAAGCGUGGGGAGCGAACAGG